UACGAAGGUGGCAAGCGUUACUCGGAAUUACUAGGCGUAAAGCGCAGGUAGGCGGUUCGAUAAGUCUUUUGUGAAAGCUCCCGGCUUAACUGGGAGAGGUCAAGAGAAACUGUCGAGCUAGAGUGUGGUAGAGGAAACUGGAAUUCCCGGUGUAGCGGUGAAAUGCGUAGAUAUCGGGAGGAAUACCUAUGGCGAAAGCAGGUUUCUGGGCCAUCACUGACGCUGAGCUGCGAAAGCUAGGGGAGCAAACGGGG
rnacentral:rRNA from 1 species